rnacentral:rRNA from 1 species
AGGUCUUGACAUCCCGAUGAAACACUUAGAGAUAGGUGCCCUCUUCGGAGCAUUGGAGACAGGUGGUGCAUGGUUGUCGUCAGCUCGUGUCGUGAGAUGUUGGGUUAAGUCCCGCAACGAGCGCAACCCUUGGAUUUAGUUGCCAGCAUUGAGUUGGGCACUCUAGAUCGACUGCCGGUGACAAACCGGAGGAAGGCGGGGAUGACGUCAAAUCAUCAUGCCCCUUAUGACCUGGGCUACACACGUGCUACAAUGGCCGGUACAACGGGAAGCGAAACCGCGAGGUGGAGCGAAUCUUUAGAAGCCGGUCUCAGUUCGGAUUGCAGGCUGCAACUCGCCUGCAUGAAGUCGGAAUUGCUAGUAAUCGCGGAUCAGCAUGCCGCGGUGAAUACGUUCCC